rnacentral:rRNA from 1 species
UACAGAGGUCUCAAGCGUUGUUCGGAUUCAUUGGGCGUAAAGGGCGCGUAGGCGGCGGGGCAAGUCGGGUGUGAAAUCUCGGAGCUUAACUCCGAAACUGCAUUCGAUACUGCCGUGCUUGAGGACUGGAGAGGAGACUGGAAUUUACGGUGUAGCGGUGAAAUGCGUAGAUAUCGUAAGGAAGACCAGUGGCGAAGGCGGGUCUCUGGACAGUUCCUGACGCUGAGGCACGAAGGUCAGGGGAGCAAACGGG